rnacentral:misc_RNA from 1 species
GAUGAAGAACGCAGCGAAAUGCGAUACGUAAUGUGAAUUGCAAAUUCAGUGAAUCAUCGAGUCUUUGAACGCACAUUGCGCCCCCUGGUAUUCCGGGGGGCAUGCCUGUCCGAGCGUCAUUGCUGCCCUCAAGCACGGCUUGUGUGUUGGGCCCCGUCCUCCGAUCCCGGGGGACGGGCCCGAAAGGCAGCGGCGGCACCGCGUCCGGUCCUCGAGCGUAUGGGGCUUUGUCACCCGCUCUGUAGGCCCGGCCGGCGCUUGCCGAUCAACCCAAAUUUUUAUCCCGGUUGACCUCGGAUCAGGUAGGGAUACCCGCUGAACUUAAGCAUAUCAAUAAGCGGAGGA